GUUUAAUAUUGCCAAAGACCCGAAUAAAUAAGGUUUCCAAAUCAUUUUAUCCCAUUGAUUGACGGGGUAUUACAGAGGGAGAAAAUAAUGACAUCAUCAGUGUCAGCUAGCCAAGGAGGAGACACCACUCCCAAGGCAACAGCAGCAGCAGCGGUGGGGAUGGCAAUAGCGACAAAGGCAGUGGCGCGGGGCUCGAGGCACUGUGCGUUGCUCAUGGCUGCUGCUUGUGGCAGGCUAGGCCUAGAGCACGCAGAAGCUAGACUCUGUGCCCGAAUAGCACGCUGACGUACACAUUGGCUGUCUUCUUAGGUCACAUCGGACAAGUGCGGGCAAGACGAGCGCUGAGCUGC
rnacentral:lncRNA from 1 species